UGAGGAAUAUUGGUCAAUGGGUGGCAGCCUGAACCAGCCAUCCCGCGUGAAGGAAGAAUGCGCUAUGCGUUGUAAACUUCUUUUUCAGGGGGAUAAAAUUCUGUAUGUAUACAGGGCUGAAGGUACCCUGAGAAUAAGCAUCGGCUAACUCCGUGCCAGCAGCCGCGGUAAUCCGGAGGAUGCGAGCGUUAUCCGGAUUUAUUGGGUUUAAAGGGUGCGUAGGCGGAAUAAUAAGUCAGUGGUGAAACCCUGCAGCUUAACUGUAGACUUGCCAUUGAUACUGUUUGUCUUGAGGAUGGUCAAGGCAGGCGGAAUGUGUAAUGUAGCGGUGAAAUGCUUAGAUAUUACACAGAACACCGAUAGCGAAGGCAGCUUGCUGGGCCGUUACUGACGCUGAUGCACGAAAGCGUGGGGAUCGAACA
rnacentral:rRNA from 1 species